rnacentral:misc_RNA from 1 species
ACAAAUGGGAUGGGAAGAAGGAGAAGGCCUAGGCAAGAACAAGCAAGGAAUCAAAGGAUAUGUCAGAGUUCAGAACAAACAAGACACUGCAGGUAUAGGUACAGAAAAGCCUAAUGAAUGGGCUUUUGACACUGCUCAGUUUGAUAGCAUACUUAAAAGAUUGAAAGUGCAAACAGCUGAAACCAACAAUGAUGAAGAGAAAAAAGAAGUGCAAAAUGACAAGGCAACAGGAACUUCUAGUGGCGAACAAGAGACUGUUGCUAAGGUUACCAGGCCUCAAGGAAGAUAUAAGAAAAGGGAGAGAGGGAAGCUUGUCCAUGGAUAUUCAGCUCAGGAUCUUGAAGGAAUUCUUGUCAAAAAGACAAAGACUUCUCAGACAAACGAUGAUCAAAAGGUACCAGAUACAGCAGAGACUAUUAUUGUUGCCGAUGAUGCAUGGAAUGAAGAUCAAGGGGUUCCCCCAGAAUGGUGGGGCUAUAAAAAUGGAUUUGUCUCAGGAGGAUUUCUUGGAAGUCAAGCUCGGAGAAAAACGUCAUCCUCAUCAGAUAAGAUGCGAGACUUCAGUGAGAGGACCACAUUUCAUGAGGAUGAUCAAGAAAAUCUUUAUAAUCUUGUUCAAAACACAGCCACAACUGGAAAACAAGGGCUGGGUAUCAAGGACCGGCCUAAGAAGGUUGCUGGUUGCUACUUUGAGGGGAAAAAGACAUCUUUUGAUGAUAGCGAUGAUGAAGAUUCUUCUGAGUCAAACCCUCCCAUGAAAGAACAUGAAGAAACCAGUGACCCAAUCAAAAAUGAUGAACCAAAAUUGAAGCUGAAGAAAUUGUGUAAACGACUGUUGAAACAGGCACCAGGGAACUCGUUAAAACUGAAGCAGCUUAAAGUGCUAAUUGAUGAACAAUCAUCAGAUUUUUUCUGCAAUUUCACUAAAAAAGAGUCACUUGCGUUUUUGAAGUGCAAGCUUGAAGGCAGUGACAAGUUCUCAGUGGAGGGAAAGAGGGUGUCUCUUUCGUAAAGAGAACUGAAAGAAUUUUGCCGUAGCUGAGUUUAGCUGUAACGUAAUGUAGAUGGCCACCGAGACUAGGUUCACAGUAAAUCAAGUUUAUUUUGUUUUGCUGAGAGAUAUAGCAAGGAGCACAACAUUGCGUUUAGGGGAGUACAGCAUUUAGGCAGUCAUUUCUUCACCCAGUGAUCUGCCCUUCUUCUUUU